GCGGACGUAGUUAAAUGGUAUAACAGCGUUUUUCCCAAUCUGCCGUUGCGGGUUCGAAUCCCGUCGUCCGCU
rnacentral:tRNA from 1 species